CGAAGCACGGGCAAAGGUAAGAAUCGUUGGGCUUUGUGUGGUUGCUGAGGAUAGAAGGAAAUGAGCACCACUGAAAGCGUGGUGUUAGGGGAACUCUUUGCGCUAAUUAAAAGCAGCAGCUAGAAAAAGCUAAAAGAAAUGAGCGUUCGUUUCUUAUAUCAUCUCUCUACUAGUGCCCUCCACCCCCAUUCCCUCUCUCUCUCACUCCCCGCCCCGCCCCCCCCCCCCCCCCCCACUCUCUCUCUCUCUCGGCACCCUCUUCCCCUAUUCCCUUUCCCUCCCUCUCUCUCUCUACAACUUGGAGUAGAUCUAGUUUGGAUUUCCUUUAGCCUUUCCCCCUUCACUCGUUUUUAGGGUUUUGAAUAUGGCUUGGAGCAAAUCUCGUUGAGGUCGAAGCAUUUGGUGGAGGGUUUCUUGUAGAAAUUGCAUUUUGUGAGAGAAGUCCCGUUUUUUGAUUUUUUAGGCAUUUGGAGUUAUAGAUCUGAUUGGCAUUGAAUUGCAAAUUCCAGACGUGCCGAAGAAAGCGAAAGAGGAGUUCGAUUUCUAGACGAGCAGGGGCCUAAUUUUAUCAUGUGAGGUCGGUUUUUUCAAAGGGGUUUUGAAGAUUCUCGAGAAGGACGAGCAUAAUUCAAUGGGGUGGGACUGGAAGAGGUUUUUAAGAUAUUUUUUGAAGUGAGUUUUGAUCCUUGCAAGGAAGCGACAGGAUCUUGCCAUGGUUUCAUGAUCCCAUUGCAGAAGACUAGGGUUUUGGGUGCUUUCGCAAUUCAUUCUUGAUGCUCAAAGAUCGGUUGGAUGGUUCCAUGAUGAGUCUAACUCGGGACUCACUGACGAUUCCAGCUACUCCAAACCCCGACCGCUACUUACUGUCUUAGAAUUUCUUGGUGUUUGUUGUUGUUUGAUAUGUGAGAAGUGUAUUUGGUGUGAGUUCAA